ACGAACGCUGGCGGCGUGCCUAACACAUGCAAGUCGAGCGGAGUUGGAAGAAGCUGCAGAGAUGUAGCGGGAGCCGACUUAGCGGCGAACGGGUGAGUAACACGUGGGUAACCUGCCCCUAUCACUGGGAUAACACACUGAAAAGUGUGCUAAUACCAGAUAAUAUAAGCUUUUGGCAUCAUUAGCUUAUCAAAGAAUUUCGGAUAGGGAUGGGCCCGCGUCUGAUUAGCUAGUUGGUGAGGUAACGGCUCACCAAGGCAACGAUCAGUAGCCGACCUGAGAGGGUGAUCGGCCACAUUGGAACUGAGACACGGUCCAAACUCCUACGGGAGGCAGCAGUGGGGAAUAUUGCACAAUGGGCGAAAGCCUGAUGCAGCAACGCCGCGUGAGCGAUGAAGG
rnacentral:rRNA from 1 species